UACGUAGGGUGCGAGCGUUAAUCGGAAUUACUGGGCGUAAAGCGAGCGCAGACGGUUGUUUAAGUCAGAUGUGAAAUCCCCGGGCUCAACCUGGGAACUGCAUUUGAAACUGGCAAGCUAGAGUCUCGUAGAGGGGGGUAGAAUUCCAGGUGUAGCGGUGAAAUGCGUAGAGAUCUGGAGGAAUACCGGUGGCGAAGGCGGCCCCCUGGACGAAGACUGACGCUCAGGUGCGAAAGCGUGGGGAGCAAACAGG
rnacentral:rRNA from 1 species